CAGUUACGUAACGUACUGGUAAUUUUUGGUAAUUCCAUGAUUUACCAAUUGACAACGUAACUACGACGUCGCAUUCCCGUAAUUUUAUUACCAUCACAUUACCAACUCACAACGUCGUCAGUACGUCCUUCCAACGUGACCAGAUAACCAAGAACGUCCCAGAUAGGUCCUCUAUUGGUAAUAUAUUGGUAACUUCAUGACUUACUGGCAACGUAACUACAACGUCGUAUGCACGUAAUAUCAUUACCAUAUUUUUUGUACGUUCUUUAUAUGCUCUCUGAGUAUAGAGCUAUUUAAAAAGUGUGAUUUAAACGUCAGACACAAGAUUAAACGUUCCUUAAAGAUAAAAUGUUUAUUUUCAACAAGUCAGAAUAUGGACAUGCUUUUAAGCUUUUAAUGACGUGACAUACAGGCGCGCGCUUCCACAACUGACGCACCGCGCGCACAGUAUUGACAAGAAAAGAGUUGUGAAACUUUUUAUCUCGUAUGGAGUUAUAACGUGAAAUAAUGACACAGACUGGCUCAUCAUCUCAUCUGCAGCAGAGACUGUUGUAUCAGAAGGACAGCGCGUUUGUUUGAGGCACUUUUCACUUCAACUGUGUCUGACAGGAGAAUUGAGCUUUCUGAGGUGAGUCUUACAAUUUAUAAUAAAUAAGUGGGUUGAUAAAAUGUAUAAAACAAAGUAAAAACAAAAGUCUAACGUCGCUAAAACCUUUUUUUAUUAUUUUAUUGUUUUUAUUGGCCUUCUAGCCGUUGAGUUACCAUGGCAACCGCGUACACAUCAGCUGCUGGAGAGGAGAGGAGAGGUCUCGUCUGACAUUUUCUCUGUUUCUCGUCAGUUAUACCAAAGAAAAGUGAUUUCAGGAGUGUCUUCAAAACCCUCUAAAACAGAGGGGAAGUUCCAAGAAAGUGUCUAAUGGGAGCUGCUGACAGAGAUAGAAAACACAGGAGCUGGAGGCCGUGAAGAAACAGAUCCAUGAUAUCGUGGAGAAGCAGGCCCAGCUGAGCGUGUGGAGAGCUGUGCUGGAAAUAUUCAUGGGUUGAUGCUCAUAAGUCCAGGUGUAAGACAUGAACCAGGCCCUGGGCGACGACCUCUCUCCAUCCGCCGCCUCCGGUCUUCAGGAUCUCCACCAGAACCCGAUUCGCUCCACUUCGUGAGACAGAACACAACAUUGUGAUCAUCGGAGACUCCAUCGUC